CAAAAUAUAGCUUAGCUAAAGCAUUUCGCUUACACCGAAAAAACAUCUGUUAAACUCAGAUUAUUUUGA
rnacentral:tRNA from 1 species